GGGUUGUGAGGUUAAGCGACUAAGCGUACACGGUGGAUGCCCUGGCAGUCAGAGGCGAUGAAGGGCGUGCUAAUCUGCGAUAAGCGCCGGUAAGGUGAUAUGAACCGUUAUAACCGGCGAUACCCGAAUGGGGAAACCCAGUGUGAUUCGUCACACUAUCAUUAACUGAAUCCAUAGGUUAAUGAGGCGAACCGGGGGAACUGAAACAUCUAAGUACCCCGAGGAAAAGAAAUCAACCGAGAUUCCCCCAGUAGCGGCGAGCGAACGGGGAGGAGCCCAGAGCCUGAAUCAGCAUGUGUGUUAGUGGAAGCGUCUGGAAAGGCGCGCGAUACAGGGUGACAGCCCCGUACACAAAAGCGCAUGUGCUGUGAGCUCGAUGAGUAGGGCGGGACACGUGGUAUCCUGUCUGAAUAUGGGGGGACCAUCCUCCAAGGCUAAAUACUCCUGACUGACCGAUAGUGAACCAGUACCGUGAGGGAAAGGCGAAAAGAACCCCGGCGAGGGGAGUGAAAAAGAACCUGAAACCGUGUACGUACAAGCAGUGGGAGCACAGGUUUACCUGUGUGACUGCGUACCUUUUGUAUAAUGGGUCAGCGACUUAUAUUCUGUAGCAAGGUUAACCGAAUAGGGGAGCCGGAGGGAAACCGAGUCUUAAUUGGGCGUUAAGUUGCAGGGUAUAGACCCGAAACCCGGUGAUCUAGCCAUGGGCAGGUUGAAGGUUGGGUAACACUAAC
rnacentral:rRNA from 1 species